rnacentral:rRNA from 1 species
UACGUAGGGUGCAAGCGUUGUCCGGAAUUAUUGGGCGUAAAGAGCUCGUAGGCGGUCUGUCGCGUCGGACGUGAAAAUCCAGGGCUCAACCCUGGACCUGCGUUCGAUACGGGCAGACUAGAGUUCGGUAGGGGAGACUGGAAUUCCUGGUGUAGCGGUGAAAUGCGCAGAUAUCAGGAGGAACACCGGUGGCGAAGGCGACCAUCUGGACGACAACUGACGCUGAGGCGCGAAAGCGUGGGGAGCAAACAGG